GGGCUCGUAGCUCAGUUAGGCAGAGCGUCUGGCUUUUAAAUUUUUGCAUGAAGAUACCAGGUGGUCGAGGGUUCAAAUCCCCCCGAGCCCG
rnacentral:tRNA from 4 species